rnacentral:rRNA from 1 species
GAUUAACGCUGGCGGCGUGCAUAACACAUGCAAGUCGAACGAUGAAACUUAAAUGAUCUCUUCGGAGUGAAUUUAAGUGGAUUAGUGGCGGACGGGUGAGUAACGCGUGAGUAACCUGCCUUAGAGAAGGGGAUAGCCUUUGGAAACGAAGAAUAAUACCCUAUGAUACCAACACUACGCAUGUAGAGUUGGUCAAAGAUUUAUCGCUCUAAGAUGGACUUGCGUCUGAUUAGUUAGUUGGUGAGGUAACGGCCCACCAAGACAGCGAUCAGUAGCCGGCUUGAGAGAGUGUACGGCCACAUUGGGACUGAGACACGGCCCAGACUCCUACGGGAGGCAGCAGUGGGGAAUUUUGCACAAUGGGGGAAACCCUGAUGCAGCGACGCCGCGUGAUUUAGAAGGCCUUCGGGUUGUAAAAAUCUUUUCUAUGGGAAGAAAAUGACAGUACCAUAGGAAUAAGGACCGGCUAAUUACGUGCCAGCAGCCGCGGUAAUACGUAAGGUCCGAGCGUUGUCCGGAAUCAUUGGGCGUAAAGGGUACGUAGGCGGGUAAGCAAGUUAGAAGUGAAAUCCUAUAGCUCAACUAUAGUAAGCUUUUAAAACUGCUCAUCUUGAGGUAUGGAAGGGAAAGUGGAAUUCCUAGUGUAGCGGUGAAAUGCGCAGAUAUUAGGAGGAAUACCGGUGGCGAAGGCGACUUUCUGGCCAUAACCUGACGCUGAGGUACGAAAGCGUGGGUAGCAAACAGG